rnacentral:rRNA from 1 species
GGUUGCGAUCAUACCAGCACUAAUGCACCUGAUCCCAUUAGAACUCCGCAGUUAAGUGUGCUUGGGCGAGAGUAGUACUAGGAUGGGUGACCCCAUGGGAAGUCCUCGUGUUACAACCC